rnacentral:tRNA from 1 species
GGCGGGAUACUCAAGUUUGGUUAAGAGGCCGCAUUGCUAAUGUAGUAUGGGAUACAGCCUGCGCAGGUUCAAAUCCUGCUCCUGCCGCCA